rnacentral:rRNA from 1 species
CACGUAGGGGACGAGCGUUGUCCGGAUUCAUUGGGCGUAAAGAGCGUGUAGGCGGCUCGAUAAGUCCGCUGUGAAAGUCCAGGGCUCAACCCUGGGAUGCCGGUGGAUACUGUCGGGCUCGAGUCCGGAAGAGGCGAGUGGAAUUCCUGGUGUAGCGGUGGAAUGCGCAGAUAUCAGGAGGAACACCGAUGGCGAAGGCAGCUCGCUGGGACGGUACUGACGCUGAGGCGCGAAAGCGUGGGGAGCGAACAGG